rnacentral:rRNA from 1 species
GCAGAGCAUCCUACGGGAGGCAGCAGUGGGGAAUAUUGCACAAUGGCGCAAGCCUGAUGCAGCCAUGCCGCGUGUAUGAAGAAGGCCUUCGGGUUGUAAAGUACUUUCAGCAGUGAGGAAGGUGGAUAUGUUAAUAGCAUACUCAUUUGACGUUAGCUGCAGAAGAAGCACCGGCUAACUCCGUGCCAGCAGCCGCGGUAAUACGGAGGGUGCGAGCGUUUAAUCGGAAUUACUGGGCGUAAAAGCGCAUGCAGGUGGUUUGUUAAGUCAGAUGUGAAAAGCCCGGGGCUCAACCUCGGAAUUGCAUUUGAAAACUGGCAAACUAGAGUACUGUAGAGGGGGUAGAAUUUCAGGUGUAGCGGUGAAAUGCGUAGAGAUCUGAAGGAAUACCGGUGGCGAAGGCGGCCCCCUGGACAGAUACUGACACUCAGAUGCGAAAGCGUGGGGAGCAAACAGGAUUAGAUACCCUGGUAG